GAGUUUAUAAAUUUAAGGAGCACAUCACUUUACAUUAAAUUUGUCAUAUAUAAAAUGAUAAUUAUCAUUAUAGAUGGGCAGAAUUUAGUAAGCUAUUAUAACAAUCCCAUGGUAGUCCAAACCGAAUACGCCAUCAUCCUAAAUGUAAGACUGUUUUUAACACCUAAUUUUCUUAACACCAAACCUGCACCAUCUUGUUACUACACU
rnacentral:lncRNA from 1 species